rnacentral:rRNA from 1 species
GACGUGCUUGCACUGAAUGAGAUUUUAACACGAAGUGAGUGGCGGACGGGUGAGUAACACGUGGGUAACCUGCCCAGAAGCAGGGGAUAACACCUGGAAACAGAUGCUAAUACCGUAUAACAGAGAAAACCGCCUGGUUUUCUUUUAAAAGAUGGCUCUGCUAUCACUUCUGGAUGGACCCGCGGCGCAUUAGCUAGUUGGUGAGGUAACGGCUCACCAAGGCGAUGAUGCGUAGCCGACCUGAGAGGGUAAUCGGCCACAUUGGGACUGAGACACGGCCCAGACUCCUACGGGAGGCAGCAGUAGGGAAUCUUCCACAAUGGACGCAAGUCUGAUGGAGCAACGCCGCGUGAGUGAAGAAGGGUUUCGGCUCGUAAAGCUCUGUUGUUAAAGAAGAACGUGGGUGAGAGUAACUGUUCACCCAGUGACGGUAUUUAACCAGAAAGCCACGGCUAACUACGUGCCAGCAGCCGCGGUAAUACGUAGGUGGCAAGCGUUAUCCGGAUUUAUUGGGCGUAAAGCGAGCGCAGGCGGUCUUUUAAGUCUAAUGUGAAAGCCUUCGGCUCAACCGAAGAAGUGCAUUGGAAACUGGGAGACUUGAGUGCAGAAGAGGACAGUGGAACUCCAUGUGUAGCGGUGAAAUGCGUAGAUAUAUGGAAGAACACCAGUGGCGAAGGCGGCUGUCUGGUCUGUAACUGACGCUGAGGCUCGAAAGCAUGGGUAGCGAACAGGAUUAGAUACCCUGGUAGUCCAUGCCGUAAACGAUGAUUACUAAGUGUUGGAGGGUUUCCGCCCUUCAGUGCUGCAGCUAACGCAUUAAGUAAUCCGCCUGGGGAGUACGACCGCAAGGUUGAAACUCAAAAGAAUUGACGGGGGCCCGCACAAGCGGUGGAGCAUGUGGUUUAAUUCGAAGCUACGCGAAGAACCUUACCAGGUCUUGACAUCUUCUGCCAACCUAAGAGAUUAGGCGUUCCCUUCGGGGACAGAAUGACAGGUGGUGCAUGGUUGUCGUCAGCUCGUGUCGUGAGAUGUUGGGUUAAGUCCCGCAACGAGCGCAACCCUUAUUACUAGUUGCCAGCAUUCAGUUGGGCACUCUAGUGAGACUGCCGGUGACAAACCGGAGGAAGGUGGGGACGACGUCAAAUCAUCAUGCCCCUUAUGACCUGGGCUACACACGUGCUACAAUGGAUGGUACAACGAGUCGCGAAACCGCGAGGUUUAGCUAAUCUCUUAAAACCAUUCUCAGUUCGGACUGUAGGCUGCAACUCGCCUACACGAAGUCGGAAUCGCUAGUAAUCGCGGAUCAGCAUGCCGCGGUGAAUACGUUCCCGGGCCUUGUACACACCGCCCGUCACACCAUGAGAGUUUGUAACACCCAAAGCCGGUGGGGUAAC